GACGAACCGAGCGAACGUUGUUCGGAAUCACUGGGCUUAAAGGGCGCGUAGGCGGGUGCUCAAGUCCGGGGGUGAAAUCCCACAGCUCAACUGUGGAAUUGCCUCGGAUACUGGGUGUCUCGAGGGUGGUAGGGGUAUGCGGAACUAUCGGUGGAGCGGUGAAAUGCGUUGAUAUCGCUAGGAACUCCGGUGGCGAAGGCGAGACGCUGGAUCUUUUCUGACGCUGAGGCGCGAAAGCCAGGGGAGCGAACGGG
rnacentral:rRNA from 1 species